UCCGCUGGGGAGUAGUCUCCAGUGGGUUUAGCGUACUUUUGUGUGUGUAUAUAAUUGUAUAUUUGAUGUUUGUAUAUUUGGUUGUAUGAUAUAAUCUGCUUGUUGUGCUUGGUGAUCUCUUAGUGGGGAGAUAAGUUCUAACCCGAACUUGAGUUUAAUUAAGAUAGGAGGAUGGUAUAGUCAUGUUCGACUUGUGAGGAGUAGUCCUUAACAUGUUGGCUUGAGACCCAUCUACUCAUUGGAGACCCUUUUG
rnacentral:lncRNA from 1 species